CUGUUCCUUUAACACAUAGGGUGAAUAAUUAUGUUUUUGAAUCAUGAAGUUGCUCUGCAGAAAAAAUUAGUGGUGGGCAAAGCAGAGAGUAAAUAGGCACUGACAAUGUCCUUUCUCCAUUUGCAGCUUACUGUACUGCUUCAAGACUCUGGAGCAAAAAGUGGUUUAUAAUAUUACAUAUUUAUAUUUAAAUUACAUCUGGGUUACUAAACUAAAAAGUGAUGGCAGGCAGCAGCAGUUGGUUCAAUACUUGGCUGUAAGCAGAAAAGGGCUCUACUUCUUUUACCUUCCCCCAUUAUCACAGGCUCUCACUGUUCCAUGGGACAACACAAAAUGUGUUUAUCUGCCCCAUGUCACUACCACUCCAUAGCUUGCAGGCCACCAGCAGUAUGUGGGGAGACCUCUAACUAUCCACUGAAAUUCGUAACAGGAAUGUGGAGCCUAAAUGUUUCAUUGGCUGAGUUUUGUUCCUGUAACAAUACUUUGAGUGAACUUGUCCUUCCUUACUCCUUCCACCAAGCAAACAUUUGACCUUUUACCAUGGACCAUAAACAAAGAGUUUGCAUUUAUAAAUGAUCCAUCUUUCAGGAAAAAUAUAUUCCCCUUGAGAUCCUGA